rnacentral:rRNA from 1 species
AGUGGCGAACGGGUGAGUAAUACAUAAGUAACCUGCCCUCGAGCGGGGGAUAACUAUUAGAAAUGAUAGCUAAUACCGCAUAGGCAUGACACUCGCAUGAGUGACAUGUCAAAGAUCCCAAGGGAUCGCCCGAGGAUGGACUUAUGACGCAUUAGCUGGUUGGUGAGGUAACGGCUCACCAAGGCGAUGAUCAGUAGCCGAGCUGAGAGGCUGGCCGGCCACAUUGGGACUGAGACACGGCCCAGACUCCUACGGGAGGCAGCAGUUGGGAAUAUUGGACAAUGGAGGAAACUCUGAUCCAGUGACGCCGCGUGAAGGAAGAAGGUCUUCGGAUUGUAAACUUAUUUUGUCUGGGAAGAAAAAAAUGACUGUACCAGAAGAAAAAGCACCGGCUAACUACGUGCCAGCAGCCGCGGUAAUACGUAGGGUGCAAGCGUUAUCCGGAUUUACUGGGUGUAAAGGGCGAGUAGACGGUACUACAAGUCAGAUGUGAAAUGCUAGAGCUUAACUUUAGAACUGCAUCUGAAACUGUAGAACUAGAGUGCAGAAGAGGUAAGUGGAAUUCCUAGUGUAGCGGUGAAAUGCGUAGAUAUUAGGAGGAACACCAGUGGCGAAGGCGACUUACUGGGCUGUAACUGACGUUGAGGCGCGAAAGUGUGGGGAGCAAACAGGAUUAGAUACCCUGGUAGUCCACACCGUAAACGAUGGAUACUAGGUGUAGGUUCAAAAGAAUCUGUGCCGGCGCAAACGCAAUAAGUAUCCCACCUGGGGAGUACGACCGCAAGGUUGAAACUCAAAGGAAUUGACGGGGGCCCGCACAAGCAGUGGAGUAUGUGGUUUAAUUCGACGCAACGCGAAGAACCUUACCAAGACUUGACAUAUACGGGAAUACUAAAAAAAUUUAGUAGUCUUUCGGGACUCGUAUACAGGUGAUGCAUGGUUGUCGUCAGCUCGUGUCGUGAGAUGUUGGGUUAAGUCCCGCAACGAGCGCAACCCUCGUGAUUAGUUGCCUCCAAGAGGAACUCUAAUCAGACUGCCGUAGUUAAUACGGAGGAAGGUGAGGAUGAUGUCAAAUCAUCACGUCCCUUAUGUCUUGGGCUACACACGUACUACAAUGGGCGUUACAGAGAGAAGCGAGACCGCGAGGUGGAGCAAAACUGAAAAAAGCGUCCCUAGUUCGGAUUGCAGGCUGAAACUCGCCUGCAUGAAGCUGGAAUUGCUAGUAAUCACAGGUCAGCAUACUGUGGUGAAUACGUUCCCGGGC